AUCCCAAGAAUGAAACUCACCAAUCAAACUCCCUCCAUCUUGAACUCCCAGGGCAGCAUUCUCUUCAGGAUUAGCUGGGGUAAAUCCUUUCACAUUAGUCUAGAACCUAAGUUCUAUGUACAGUAUCAUACAAUGUUUGGUUCCACAUGGAGAAGAGUCUGUAUGGCUCUGAUCAAGGCAGUGUUUUAACACUUCUAACAAAAUAUGAGUCUAAUUAAAGAGAAUGUCAUUAAUCAGCAUGGUUAGUACCUUGGUUAAUAUAAUGCACUGUAUUCAUUGGUUGAGCACCCUUGUCUCUGUUUAAGUUGGGCUGACAUUCAUUUGGCUCAGAUCUCCAUUUGUAUUUGAAAAACCAUACAACAACCACAACCACUA